UACGUAGGUGGCAAGCGUUGUCCGGAUUUACUGGGCGUAAAGGGCGUGCAGGCGGUUUGUUAAGUGCAGGGUGAAAGCUCCCGGCUCAACUGGGAGAGGUCCUUGCAUACUGGCGAACUCGAGGGAGGCAGAGGAAAGUGGAAUUCCCGGUGUAGUGGUGAUAUGCGUAGAUAUCGGGAGGAACACCUGUGGCGAAGGCGGCUUUCUGGGCCUUACCUGACGCUGAGACGCGAAAGCUAGGGUAGCAAACGGG
rnacentral:rRNA from 1 species